rnacentral:rRNA from 1 species
CCCUUAGAUGUUCUGGGCUGCACGCGCGCUACACUGAAGCUAUCAACACGUUUUCCCUCCCUGAGAAGGGCGGGUAACCUUUUGAAUCAGCUUCGUGGUAGGGAUCGGGGCUUGCAAUUGUUCCCCGUGAUCCAGGAAUUCCUAGUAGACGCGAGUCAUAAGCUCGCAUCGAUUAAGUCCCUGCCCUUUGUACACACCGCCCGUCGCUACUACCGAUUGAACGUUUUAGUGAGGCAUUUGGACCGACGCAUCUCAGUUUAACCGCUGGUUUGUGUUGGAAAGACUUCCAAACUUGAGCGUUUAGAGGAAGUAAAAGUCGUAACA